rnacentral:rRNA from 1 species
UACGGGGGGGGUAAGCGUUGUUCGGAAUUACUGGGCGUAAAGGGCUCGUAGGCGGCCAACUAAGUCAUACGUGAAAUCCCUCAGCUUAACUGGGGAACUGCGUGUGAUACUGGAUGGCUUGGAUUUGGGAGAGGGAUGCGGAAUUCCAGGUGUAGCGGUGAAAUGCGUAGAUAUCGCUUGGAACGCCGACGGUGAAAACAGCUCGCUGGGGAUUCGCUGACGCUGAGACACGAAAGCCAGGGGAGCAAACGGG